rnacentral:sRNA from 1 species
UUCGUCCCAGUCGAUUGUAGACAGCAGA